rnacentral:misc_RNA from 1 species
AGGUGAAGGUGCUGAAAUGAUAAGAGUUUGAAUGGUAUGCCUAGGGACCAAAGGUGACGGCAUACGGGAUAGGUUAAGUGAAUGAAUGACAAUGAAUGAUGGUGCCGAGGGACCCAGGGUGAAGGCACAGGGAAGAGAUAGCAUGCAAAGUGAUAUAUUGGUGCCGAGGGAAUAUAUAUAUACGAAGGCACGGGAAUGUCAGAAUGCCGAGGGACAUGGUGUGAAG